rnacentral:rRNA from 1 species
GACGAACGCUGGCGGCGGGCUUAACACAUGCAAGUCGAACGGAAAGGCCCUGCUUUUGUGGGGUGCUCGAGUGGCGAACGGGUGAGUAACACGUGAGUAACCUGCCCUUGACUUUGGGAUAACUUCAGGAAACUGGGGCUAAUACCGGAUAGGAGCUCCUGCUGCAUGGUGGGGGUUGGAAAGUUUCGGCGGUUGGGGAUGGACUCGCGGCUUAUCAGCUUGUUGGUGGGGUAGUGGCUUACCAAGGCUUUGACGGGUAGCCGGCCUGAGAGGGUGACCGGCAACAUUGGGACUGAGAUACGGCCCAGACUCCUAAGGGAGGCAGCAGUGGGGAAUAUUGCACAAUGGGCGGAAGCCUGAUGCAGCAACGCCGCGUGCGGGAUGACGGCCUUCGGGUUGUAAACCGCUUUCGCCUGUGACGAAGCGUGAGUGACGGUAAUGGGUAAAGAAGCACCGGCUAACUACGUG